rnacentral:rRNA from 1 species
UACGGGGGGGCAAGCGUUGUUCGGAAUUACUGGGCGUAAAGGGCUCGUAGGCGGCCAACUAAGUCAGACGUGAAAUCCCCAGGCUCAACCUGGGAACUGCGUCUGAUACUGGAUGGCUUGAAUCCGGGAGAGGGAUGCAGAAUUCCAGGUGUAGCGGUGAAAUGCGUAGAUAUCUGGAGGAAUACCGGUGGCGAAGGCGGCAUCUGGACCGGCAUUGACGCUGAGGAGCGAAAGCCAGGGGAGCAAAGCGG